GGGCGAUGCGCGGCACGCGUGCAGAGGCCCACACACACAGAAGGCGGAGCCCCCGGGUGGAGUGGCUGGCUCCCGGACCACCCAGCAGUCUGGAAGGCGGUGAGGGCGGGGCAUCUUCCGCUCGGGGAGGCCCAUCCACUGAGGUUAGCGCAGGGUGUGUUCUGGAAUCGCAGGUUCUAGAAGGCCGGGAGCCGCCGCCCCAGGUGCCGCCCAUUUCCACCCCUCCCACCCCCAGCCCGGGGUCCGCAGGAUUUACGGGAUUUACGGCCUGGAGCUUAGCAAGGGCGAGCGACCGAUGCAGUUGCACUCAGGGUCUCUCUCUUGGGCUUGGUUCGAACCUCUGCUGUCUCAUUCCUGAAGUUUGUAAGUGCGUGCGUGUCUGAGGAGGCCCUGGCCUUGAGAGGCAAGUUCUAGGUUCUGCCACUGAACCCUGUUUCCUUUCUUUUUCCGUUUUUUUUUUUUUUUUUUUUCUGCCCGUGGCCUCCCCACCCUACCUUAGCCCCAUCUCCCUAGGUAGCCCCAGGAUGAUCUAAACUUCGCAGUUCUUCUUGGCGCCUCCCCCAUGCGCCAUCACACCAGGUGAAAUUCCUAAUUUUAUAACAUGACACUACAUGCUUAUUUCGUACUGUCGUUGCCCCUGUGUAGCUGCCCUAGAAGACUGUAUACAUACUGAUAACCUAAUGAUUGAAGGGGAGAUUCGGGAAAGGGAUCAUCUCCGGAUGGUGGAGCCUGUCUGCCAGGCAGUGGGAACCUCGGGAUCUGGAAUGUGGGUGGAUGCUGAGUACAGGUGAGGCUUCCUCAAAUAGGCGGUCCAUUUGGGCAAAGUUUCUUGGCUGACGAUUUAUUUAGACAAAGGAAUACGUAUCUUAAGGAAGUGAUCCUCAGAGGUGUCUCCUCUGGCAUUUAUGACUAAUCGUACCUACAUAAUAAAUUAAAUAAAUAGAUAGAAAUAACAAAGUCCUGGGCUACCGCUCAGUCGGUAGAGCAUUUGCUUGGUCUGAGUGAGGCCAGAGGUGGCAUAUUUGAUUCCCCAGCAGGCUCUGGGAGGGAGUCAGAGCACGGGGAGAUGGGAACAGAAGGAUCAGAAAUUCAAGUCCAGCUUUGGAGAGAUGACACCAAGGCUAGCCUGGGCUACAUGAGAUCCAGCGUAAAUUGGCCCCCU
rnacentral:lncRNA from 1 species